GAUGAAGAACGUAGCGAAAUGCGAUAAGUAAUGUGAAUUGCAGAAUUCAGUGAAUCAUCGAAUCUUUGAACGCACAUCGCGCCCGCCAGUAUUCUGGCGGGCAUGCCUGUCUGAGCGUCAUUUCAACCCUCAUGCCCCUAGGGCGUGGUGUUGGGGAUCGGCCAAAGCCCGCGAGGGACGGCCGGCCCCUAAAUCUAGUGGCGGACCCGUCGUGGCCUCCUCUGCGAAGUAGUGAUAUUCCGCAUCGGAGAGCGACGAGCCCCUGCCGUUAAACCCCCAACUUUCCAAGGUUGACCUCAGAUCAGGUAGGAAUACCCGCUGAACUUAAGCAUAUCAAUAAGCGGAGGA
rnacentral:misc_RNA from 1 species